rnacentral:lncRNA from 1 species
AAGACUCUAUGACUCAGAGUAUUUAUUCAUUAGGCUCCGAAGAGCCAAAUAUUACAAACAUGGGUCUCAUGACCCAACAUUCAGAGCAUACAAGUCAAAGCACAUGCGGAAGCUUAACAUGUCUGAGUACAGACAUCUACAAAUGAAAAAGGCUGAGAAGCUUGACUAUCUACCAGAUCCUGCCGAGGGCACAAGAUCGUAGCUGAGGUAUCAAGCUAAACGUCGAAGUCCACACGGAACUACUAGCGAGACUGGCGUCUCUCUGCAAAACAUAAAAUAAGCAAACGUGAGUACAAAUGUACCCAGCAAGACUUACAUCAGAACUAUCUACAUAUGCAUCGGUAACAACAAAGGGGGUGGUGGAGUUUAACUGCAGCAAGCCAGCUUUGACUCGGUGGCUAUCCUGAACUACGACUGCAAGUAACUCUUUUGAGGUGGCGCACAUGAGUCCACAUAUUCACCAUAUCAAUACACCACUAUGGAUCCGCUCCCGUCUCCCUACGAGAACGCCAUCCAUAGCACUCACGCUUAUCUUGCGCAUUUUAGAGUAUCCACUUUCACUUGUCUAUGAACUGUACAGGCAACCCAGAAGUCCUUUACCGCGGACACGGCUAUUCGAAUAGAUCAUAUUAACCCUGCAGGGGUGUACUUCGUCACACACGCUCUCGCCACUUACCACCAUGUACAUGUCGUGUACCUCGGCAACCUUCAAGCGGAAGCCUGGCGACGGAGUCGGCCACGACCUGACUAACCACACAAGUCUCUAGUCCAGGUUUAUCGCCUAUUCGGGUUCCAUCCGCAAGGAGAUCCGGCCGGGGUGUCGCUCACGGCCCCAAACGAUGUGUGCAGGGUUCCCGAGCCCACCAUCCGGGUGCCGCUCGGUACACCAGGCCACGUGUGCCUAGUCUGUCCCAAGCCCACCUGUACCGGGUGCCACUUGGUAGACUACUAACACUACCUACAAACACCAGAAACUAGUUGCAACUCCUGGACAGAGAUCAGGUUGAUUAAUAAGUCGAGAGGGGCACUUAAGCAUUCCAAUGCGUGGUAGUAACUGUUCAUGGAUCACAAACACAUAACUCAGUUCCUGAGGACGGCUGCAAUGAGACAACCCACCAUGUACUCCUACAUGGCCUCUCACCGCUACCUUUACCAAAUCGUGUUCACACACUUAGCUCUCAACAGUAGGACAUGUUCACCACAUUCCAAUUCAUUCCCGAUGAAUCAGACCUGACACAACUCUAAGCAAUAGCAGGCAUGACAAACAAGCAUGAAUGAGUAGGCACAUCAGGGCUCAAACAACUCCUACUCAUGCUAGUGGGUUUCAUCUAUUUACUGUGGCAAUGACAGGUCAUGCAGAGGAUAAGGGGUUCAACUACCGCAGCAAGUAACAAAUGAAUCGUUGUUGUCCUAAUGCAGUAAAAGAGAGCAGGAGCGAGAGAGUGGGGUUGUAUCGGAAUGAACAAGGGGGUUUGCUUGCCUGGCACUUCUGAAGAUAGCAUUGAGUCUUCAUUAGUGUCAACGAUCACAACGCCGGAACAUCAUCUACCGAGAGGGGACUAAUACCGGCAACAGAGAAGAAAUACAAUCAAUGCAAUGCACAAUAUGAUGCAUGAUCAUGACAUGUCAAUAUGCUGUGUUUUAAGCUAAUGCAACUAGCAACAUGUUAAAUGGAGUUGGUUUGAACCCUAGGUUCAAAUUCAAACUCCACAUGUGAGGGUUUAAAUGCCAUUUAUAUGACUUGGCCUAAACAGCAGCCAUAAGUUGUUCUAACAUGCAUGAAAACAGUACAGAUGGAUAGAUUGGAUUUUUUUGAUCAUUUUUCAUAUAUAAUUUGUUUCAUUUGGAGUUAUGGUUGAAUUUCUAUGAAUUUUUGAAGUUUGUAGUAUUUUCUGGAAUUUCCUGUAUAAGAAUAAUUCCAGUAAUUAAAUUACUGCGUCAGCACUACGUCAGGGUGACGUCAGCAUUGACCAAAGUCAAAUCUGACUGGUGGGACCUAUCUGUCAGUGUAACAGUGCUAAUUAUGUGGCUUAUUAAAUCCUAACUAAAAAUAAUUAGCUCGGCGGGGCCCACCGUCAGUGACUCUAGGGGGGUUAGUUAGGCGCUAAUGACGGUGCCACGUCAUCGGUCGCCGGAGCCUUGCCGGCGGCGACCAAAACGACGGCGGCUCGGCUCGGAUUUGAGCUACGGGUGGUGGUUUGGUGAGCUAAGGGCACCGGGGAGUAGCUCUUGCUCGUCCGCAUCCAAAGGAUCGGACGGGAGGCAGCGGGGUGGCCGGGAGCAGCGCCGGCGGCGAGCAAGGCGGCGGCCGGAGUUCGGCGUCGGUGAGGACGAUGCUGCGGUGCACGGGAGGAGGAGCUGGUGCGUGCGUUCGGCUCCUAAGAGCAGGGUUAGCAGGCGGGUGCUACUGGGGCGAGCGGAGGAGCUCGGGAGCGCGGGGCUCGCUGGCCAUGGCGAUGGCCGGAGCUCGGUUUCGCGGGGCGGCGGCUAACGGGCGAGAACGGAGGGGGUGAGAAAGGGGGAGGAGCAGGAGCUCACGGCGAUGCGGUAGAGAGGGUCAGCGGCCUCGGGGACGGACGGAAACCGACGAAUCGACAGAGACGAUCUCCGGGCGCCAGCGGUGAAGACGAGGACGUUGGCGACGAAGCAAAGUCCUCCGGCUCGUUUCCUUCGGCUUGGGGAUGUGGUGCUCGAUUGCGGAGCUGCUGGGCACGAUCACGGGACAAGGGGUGGCCGGUGGUCAUGGCUACGGCGAGCGGCGCUCUCAGGUGCGUUCGGUGACGAGAGGAAGGGAGAGCAGAGGAGGAGGAGGGGUCCAGAGAGCGAGGGAGAAGUGAGAGGGGGUCGGGGAGGUGCCGUGGCACUCGUGGAGGCGUCCAGAAGCGGCGGAAGCAGGAGGUGGCCUCGCGCGCGGCGACCACACACCCGGCGUCCCUCUGGCGUCCUUCUGGCGCGAGGUGGGAGACGGUGGCGGCUCUGGUGGGCUGGGCCAGCUCCUGGGCCGUGGUGGGGCGCCAGGUAAGUCCAGGUGAGGGCCCAGUGGCCUUCUCUCUCUCUCUCUUACUUAAUUGUUUCUAUUUUCUAUUUUAUUUCUCUGUUUUGAAUUAGUAAAAAUACUAAUUCAUUUUGUAAGAUCCUGAAAAUAAUUGUGGGCACUUUUGAAACUAUUUCCAACAGCCCUCAAAUGCUUUCAAGAUUAUUUGGACAUUUAAAAUAUUUUAUAGAAUGUAAUGUCCAAAUUCAAAUACUUAUGAUUUAAUUCAAAAAUCCAGAAUGUCCUAGAAAAGUGUGCACCAUUUUUGCCAGGGGUUUUAGCCCAAUCCAGAAAUGAUGAACAUUUUGUGAAGGGCAUUUUGGGUUCAUUGAAACCAAUUUUAGUAAAUCCUAGUUGGUUUCAGGGGGGGGUGCUGGGGGUUCUGUCAUCCCCAUUUCAAGUUUCUGCAAAAUUCAAACAUGAUGCACACAUGAAGCUAGCCUAGUGCAAUACGAGAAGCUAGGGAUGUGACAAAUCGCCCCCACUAAACAAGAAUCUCGUCCCGAGAUUCAAGUCGUGAGGUAAGAAGACAGAGGGACACAAGCUAACACAAUCUUCACGGUCCAACUUCCCUUCUCGAAGAUGUUGAUUCGUUGCAUCAUCUUGAUCUUGACAUCUUGCUUGAGAACUCCACUCAACACGACCACGAGAAGAAAUGGAAACUCUAGAAGAAUCGAUCUUCUCGAGGAUCGAGCAACUGACGAUCAACUCACGGAAUGAGGCAUAGAACACCUCUCGAGCUGAGAGGCAAAACAUGCACUAGGAGGGACGGAAGAAACAAUUUGACGAGGGUUUCAAGUAGCGAGGAAAAUUGCCAUGAUUCCAUAACGAGACAUAUUAAGGAAGAUGACUCGCAGGAUAUCCCCUUAAGUGGCAAAAAGAAUUACUUUUGAUUCAAAGAUCAUUGAAACUCUUUAUACCAGCCCAAGGCAGAACACAACAAUCGUUUGGCGGAGUACGAAGGAUGGCACAAUGGCGGUGCAAGCUGGGAACAGAAUGCAAAUGAUGGGAAUGAUUCUAGUAACUGGGGAGAAACCCAACAGUAGAGAGUGAUUCCACUAUUGGAAAGGUUAUAACAUAACCGAGGAAAUUGGGGCCAAUCCCAGUUAGUGCUGACGAUGACACCUAAUGCUUGCGCGUGCUCUCAAGUACUUGAGCAUUUCCAUAUUCAUCAAGUUGUACCAAUAUCCGUGCCGAGGAUCCUGGCAUAAUAUCUUACUUCCAUGAUGAAUAGUGAUGGACAAUGCGGAUACAAAGGAAGAUAACACCUUCUCAGACUUCCCCUUAGCGAGGCUAAGGAAACAGAAUCUGGAUGAUCGACCGAGAGACAUUUAGCACUCCGCUUCUAAUGUUCUCCUUGAUGUGCUAGUGCAACCCAUUUGUUAAAAUGGUUUGGUACGUAGAACAUCAAGUAAAAGGUCGGACUUCGGGAGCACAAGAGUCCAUAAGGAAUAUCUACGGAAGUAGAAUCUUAUGAAAUCCUUAUGGAGAGGUGGCCAACUUCCUCAAUCAAGAUACUAUAAUAAUAGGUCUUCCGGUUGGGUGUGUUGGCCACGACAUCCACUCUACCGGUUACCGGGAGACCAAUAUUAUAGCUCUUGGGAAAAGUUCCAACCAUCACAUCUGCCCGAGAUUCAGAUCUGGUUGGUGGUAGGAUAUUCCAGACUCAUCGAGUCUAGGAAGAAAAAUGAAGGUUUGCAACACCAACUGACGAGAUGACGUUGCGAGAUUCUCAGGGGAUGAACUACGAUAGCAAGCUCCAAAACAUGAGCUGGUUCUGCUACAACAUGUGAACACGCUGUCCCAGACAAGCAUGACCACAUAGUAGUCUUACAAGAAAACACUGCCGAGCUCUGGUUGGGAACCAUCAUUAAGAUAACGAAGUCUUGUGCAUGUCCGUCCGGGCCCUUCAGGAGUAGCGCAUGAACUUCUUUUCUUUGAACAAAUCAAUCAGUGGCUUUGUGUGCUAGGAAAUACCGAUGGGAUGGAGGUAGCUAAUCUCUCAAGCCAUGGUAUACUUCGCAUGUGCAUGACUGACUUGGGAUGAUUCCAGAGGAAGCAAAACUAACUUUCUCGAAUUCACGACGGCAACUUGCACCUAAUGCACGUGAACUUGGAGAAAGCCACUUCUUGCACCAAACAUAUACCUCAUGAACAACAUGAAGGCAAUGGUUACAAAGUUUUCAACACUAGGUUGAUGUUCAACAUGAAUCAUGGGGGAGACAAAAUGCUGCUGAUGGGCUCAACAACAACUCAUCGGAAUUUCCAUAUCACUGGACUUCCACCACCAUGUGAACAUGAUGAUAGCAUUGGUCAGACCAAAAGAUGUAAUGGUGUAUGCUCGAGGAAUCAACCACGAGUAAGACAACAUUACGAACAUCGUUGGUUCUGAUUUGAUUUGGUAAUAGCCCAUACUCAAAUCAAAGUUCGGUUAAGAGGAUAGGUCCAUUAAUUGAUCACGAGGACCAAUCGUUGAAGAAAUCAUCUUUCUACAACAAACACACACAAGAGAUAUCCUUUGGAAAGAACUAAGUCAGGCAAGCUUUUAUCUUCCAACUCUCCAAGUUGUUGUUUGGCUUAACCAACUAGCUCAGGGGUAUCCAACACAGAUCCUUGGAGAAAGAGUGGUUUAUAGGAAAACCAUUUGAUCACGAGCUUAACAUAGCGGUCAGGUGACAACCUGGUGAUACUUCUGAGAAGAUAUUCGGAAAAUCACGAACCACCGAUAUGUUGCUAAGCUCGAGAACAAUCUUGCUUUUCAGGGCAAGACGAUAUGACCAAGAGAGUGAUGGAUUGACACAAUCCUAACUCAUUCAUCGAGGAGUGCACCGGAAAUAAGGACUAGGUAGCAUGAUCAACCUCAGGAUGGUGAUUCAAUAACCAACACGCUAAGGAUGAAAUUAUUGUCCUUUAUCUACCAAGCAAUGGGGUUGCUAGGAGUAUAGAUUUCACACACCACGAUUCACUUGUCAGUAUUCCGGUUGCAAUAACACGGAGACCGAGGAAUGAAUAACGAUGGCCAGAAAUAUCACUGCAACAAGAAUUCAUAAGGGUUGGUGCAAUCCUCAUGAGAUUCCUGACAUAAAGAGGGUAAUACUCGUAGGUAGAACAGAACAAAAGCUGGUUAGGCAUUUGAUCUGCGGAAAACAACUACUUUGACCCAAUCCUAGAGAUGGACGAGGUACUGGAGUUUGUUUCUCCUAGUCAUUCCGGAAUAGAAUGGCUUGACGGACCACAAGAAUAAUAGGCAUCGGUAACACAGACGCACAACUAGUCCUGACUAUCAAUUGAUAGACAGAGGUCAGAAUACAACUAAAGAGAGACAACUCAAAGGAACAUAUGGUUUUCUGAGUUGCGGAUGCAUAAAUUUAGUAUGUCAAACAAGUUCAACAUAUUUCUUCCAGAUAACCCAUGCAGAGGAGGAAGGACUGGAAGAGUCACAAUAUGAAUGGAGUACUCCUCAAGAGCACUUUGGUUGUGAUCUUUCGGUUAAAAGAACUUCUGCCAUGAUGGUUCAUGGUAUUGGAAGAAUGAAAUACCACGGACCUCGAGGACUCAUGCAAAGGUUACUAAUACCUAAAGGAACGAGCAAACACUAUCAACAGGAGGUAAGUGGAGUGAAUCUUGGGCCAAGAACCCAAGGGUAGAAUACCUACUACUAAAUAGCAUCACGAGAUGCUUUCGAGAAUGGUGGCCAGAAUCAUCACACCGGGAACACAAAACAUGGCUAGAUUACUAGGUGACUCCCUAAGACACCUAGGGUCAUAAUAAUAGCUCCAACAUAUAUGUCGAGGCAAUAGAGUGCCUCAACGCACCGGUAGUGUGCUUAAUCUGGCCCAAAGGGACGCAAAAACAGAGGGAAAGGAUUUGCAAAUGCAUCAGAUUGUUUAGAAACCUGGGAUGACUCGGACAGCAUGACGGCUGUAAAUGCUCAGAAAGGAUUUGAGACAUUCACAAGGAUUUGCAUAGUCACUUAACAACAUCAUAUCAUGGUUCUGGGAUGAACUGUCAACACAUGGAAGUAGUAGAAACUGAGCUGAGGCUUCAGACCAACAAUCCUACGAGUCUACAGAUUAGUAACACGUGAUCCUGAUAGAAAGAUGAGAAGCCUAGUUCUUAAUCCCCGUAGAAGAGAAGAGGGUGACUCAGAUCAGAAGGGCAUAAGGUAAAGGAGUAAAAAGAGCCUUACGUUCCCAUCCACAAUCAAUUCCCUUAUAUAACUAAAGCAUUUCUAGACUCAACUUCGACCAGUUUGGCUUGGUAAUCCUACAGGCAGUCAGGCUCUGAUACCAAAGCUGUCAGGACCCCGAUUCCAAGUCACACCGAUCUAGCCUGUAACACCUCAUAUCACUUUGCAGCCUCACGCACGGUACUCCCACGGGUGUCGCCUUACCAUGGCCCGGGACCGUUUGCGCCUUUUGGCUCACGUAUAUGACAAUGUCGCUAGCAUCCAUAUGACCGAGAACCCGGGCCGACAUGGCUAGUCGUGAACCCAAAGCGGCACUAACGUAUGGGGACAGUCAUACAUGAAUCAACAUCGAACGUGUCGGUCAGCAGCGUGCGAAUCCGGGCUGUAGCACUGGGCUAACAGGACUCCGGGAACCCGGGCUGUAGCAGGCUAGGCAGGACUCCGGAUGUCACCGCAUGACAUUUCCCCGAAGGGACAGACACAUGAACGAUAUGAAACACAUGCCGGCCAGUCAAGUGUCCAGAGCAGUAGUGCUGGGCUAGCAGGACUCCGGUGAACCGGGCUGUAGCGGACUACUAUGGCUCAAGGAGGCACUAGACUACAUUUCCCCAUAAGAGAGGCUGCUAAGGAUAGACAACUAGAUUGUCGGAUCCCACACAUACCAAGCAUUUCAAUCAUACACACAAUAUGCUCGAUAUGUGCAAAUACAACAUGGCAUCACAACAAGACUCUAUGACUCAGAGUAUUUAUUCAUUAGGCUCCGAAGAGCCAGAUAUUACAAACAUGGGUCUCAUGACCCAACAUUCAGAGCAUACAAGUCAAAGCACAUGCGGAAGCUUAACAUGUCUGAGUACAGACAUCUACAAAUGAAAAAGGCUGAGAAGCUUGACUAUCUACCAGAUCCUGCCGAGGGCACAAGAUCGUAGCUGAGGUAUCAAGCUAAACGUCGAAGUCCACACGGAACUACUAGCGAGACUGGUGUCUCUCUGCAAAACAUAAAAUAAGCAAACGUGAGUACAAAUGUACCCAGCAAGACUUACAUCAGAACUAUCUACAUAUGCAUCGGUAACAACAAAGGGGGUGGUGGAGUUUAACUGCAGCAAGCCAGCUUUGACUCGGUGGCUAUCCUGAACUACGACUGCAAGUAACUCUUUUGAGGUGGCGCACAUGAGUCCACAUAUUCACCAUAUCAAUACACCACUAUGGAUCCGCUCCCGUCUCCCUACGAGAACGCCAUCCAUAGCACUCACGCUUAUCUUGCGCAUUUUAGAGUAUCCACUUUCACUUGUCUAUGAACUGUACAGGCAACCCAGAAGUCCUUUACCGCGGACACGGCUAUUCGAAUAGAUCAUAUUAACCCUGCAGGGGUGUACUUCGUCACACACGCUCUCGCCACUUACCACCAUGUACAUGUCGUGUACCUCGGCAACCUUCAAGCGGAAGCCUGGCGAGGGAGUCGGCCACGACCUGACUAACCACACAAGUCUCUAGUCCAGGUUUAUCGCCUAUUCGGGUUCCAUCCGCAAGGAGAUCCGGCCGGGGUGUCGCUCACGGCCCCAAAUGAUGUGUGCAGGGUUCCCGAGCCCACCAUCCGGGUGCCGCUCGGUACACCAGGCCACGUGUGCCUAGUCUGUCCCAAGCCCACCUGUACCGGGUGCCACUUGGUAGACUACUAACACUACCUACAAACACCAGAAACUAGUUGCAACUCCUGGACAGAGAUCAGGUUGAUUAAUAAGUCGAGAGGGGCACUUAAGCAUUCCAAUGCGUGGUAGUAACUGUUCAUGGAUCACAAACACAUAACUCAGUUCCUGAGGACGGCUGCAAUGAGACAACCCACCAUGUACUCCUACAUGGCCUCUCACCGCUACCUUUACCAAAUCGUGUUCACACACUUAGCUCUCAACAGUAGGACAUGUUCACCACAUUCCAAUUCAUUCCCGAUGAAUCAGACCUGACACAAAUCUAAGCAAUAGCAGGCAUGACAAACAAGCAUGAAUGAGUAGGCACAUCAGGGCUCAAACAACUCCUACUCAUGCUAGUGGGUUUCAUCUAUUUACUGUGGCAAUGACAGGUCAUGCAGAGGAUAAGGGGUUCAACUACCGCAGCAAGUAACAAAUGAAUCGUUGUUGUCCUAAUGCAGUAAAAGAGAGCAGGAGCGAGAGAGUGGGGUUGUAUCGGAAUGAACAAGGGGGUUUGCUUGCCUGGCACUUCUGAAGAUAGCAUUGAGUCUUCAUUAGUGUCAACGAUCACAACGCCGGAACAUCGUCUACCGAGAGGGGACUAAUACCGGCAACAGAGAAGAAAUACAAUCAAUGCAAUGCACAAUAUGAUGCAUGAUCAUGACAUGUCAAUAUGCUGUGUUUUAAGCUAAUGCAACUAGCAACAUGUUAAAUGGAGUUGGUUUGAACCCUAGGUUCAAAUUCAAACUCCACAUGUGAGGGUUUAAAUGCCAUUUAUAUGACUUGGCCUAAACAGCAGCCAUAAGUUGUUCUAACAUGCAUGAAAACAGUACAGAUGGAUAGAUUGGAUUUUUCUGAUCAUUUUUCAUAUAUAAUUUGUUUCAUUUGGAGUUAUGGUUGAAUUUCUAUGAAUUUUUGAAGUUUGUAGUAUUUUCUGGAAUUUCCUGUAUAAGAAUAAUUCCAGUAAUUAAAUUACUGCGUCAGCACUACGUCAGGGUGACGUCAGCAUUAACCAAAGUCAAAUCUGACUGGUGGGACCUAUCUGUCAGUGUAACAGUGCUAAUUAUGUGGCUUAUUAAAUCCUAACUAAAAAUAAUUAGCUCGGCGGGGCCCACCGUCAGUGACUCUAGGGGGGUUAGUUAGGCGCUAAUGACGGUGCCACGUCAUCGGUCGCCGGAGCCUUGCCGGCGGCGACCAAAAUGACGGCGGCUCGGCUCGGAUUUGAGCUACGGGUGGUGGUUUGGUGAGCUAAGGGCACCGGGGAGUAGCUCUUGCUCGUCCGCAUCCAAAGGAUCGGACGGGAGGCAGCGGGGUGGCCGGGAGCAGCGCCGGCGGCGAGCAAGGCGGCGGCCGGAGUUCGGCGUCGGUGAGGACGACGCUGCGGUGCACGGGAGGAGGAGCUGGUGCGUGCGUUCGGCUCCUGAGAGCAUGGUUAGCAGGCGGGUGCUACUGGGGCGAGCGGAGGAGCUCGGGAGCGCGGGGCUCGCUGGCCAUGGCGAUGGCCGGAGCUCGGUUUCGCGGGGCGGCGGCUAACGGGCGAGAACGGAGGGGGUGAGAAAGGGGGGAGGAGCAGGAGCUCACGGCGAUGCGGUAGAGAGGGUCAGCGGCCUCGGGGACGGACGGAAACCGACAAAUCGACAGAGACGAUCUCCGGGCGCCAGCGGUGAAGACGAGGACGUUGGCGACGAAGCAAAGUCCUCCGGCUCGUUUCCUUCGGCUUGGGGAUGUGGUGCUCGAUUGCGGAGCUGCUGGGCACGAUCACGGGACAAGGGGUGGCCGGUGGUCAUGGCUACGGCGAGCGGCGCUCUCAGGUGCGUUCGGUGACGAGAGGAAGGGAGAGCAGAGGAGGAGGAGGGGUCCAGAGAGCGAGGGAGAAGUGAGAGGGGGUCGGGGAGGUGCCGUGGCACUCGUGGAGGCGUCCAAAAGCGGCGGAAGCAGGAGGUGGCCUCGCGCGCGGCGACCACACUCCCGGCGUCCCUCUAGCGUCCUUCUGGCGCGAGGUGGGAGACGGUGGUGGCUCUGGUGGGCUGGGCCAGCUCCUGGGCCGUGGUGGGGCGCCAGGUAAGUCCAGGUGAGGGCCCAGUGGCCUUCUCUCUCUCUUACUUAAUUGUUUCUGUUUUCUAUUUUAUUUCUCUGUUUUGAAUUAGUAAAAAUACUAAUUCAUUUUGUAAGAUCCUGAAAAUAAUUGUGGGCACUUUUGAAACUAUUUCCAACAGCCCUCAAAUGCUUUCAAGAUUAUUUGGACAUUUAAAAUAUUUUAUAGAAUGUAAUGUCCAAAUUCAAAUACUUAUGAUUUAAUUCAAAAAUCCAGAAUGUCCUAGAAAAGUGUGCACCAUUUUUGCCAGGGGUUUUAGCCCAAUCCAGAAAUGAUGAACAUUUUGUGAAGGGCAUUUUGGGUUCAUUGAAACCAAUUUUAGUAAACCCUAGUUGGUUUCAGGGGGGGUGCUGGGGGUUCUGUCAUCCCCAUUUCAAGUUUCUGCAAAAUUCAAACAUGAUGCACACAUGAAGCUAGCCUAGUGCAAUACGAGAAGCUAGGGAUGUGACAGUAUGUUACUUGCUCGAGAUUCGAUCGUCGGUAUCUCAAUACCUAGUUCAAUCUCAUUACCGGCAAGUCUCUUUACUCGUUCUGUAAUACAUCAUCCCGCAACUAACUCAUUAGUUGUAAUGCUUGCAAGGCUUAUAGUGAUGUGCAUUACCGAGUGGGCCCAGAGAUACCUCUCCGACAAUUGAAGUGACAAAUCCUAAUCUCGAAAUACGCCAACCCAACAAGUACCUUCGGAGACACCUGUAGAGCACCGUUAUAAUCACCCAGUUACGUUGUGACGUUUGUUAGCACACAAAGUGUUCCUCCGGUAAACGGGAGUUGCAUAAUCUCAUAGUCAUAGGAACAUGUAUAAGUCAUGAAGAAAGCAAUAGAAGAAUACUAAACGAUCGUGUGCUAAGCUAACAGAAUGGGUCAAGUCAAUCACAUCAUUCUCCUAAUGAUGUGAUCCCGUUAAUCAAAUGACAACUCAUGUCAAUGGCUAGGAAACAUAACCAUCUUUGAUCAACGAGCUAGUCAAGUAGAGGCAUACUAGUGACACUCUGUUUGUCUAUGUAUUCACACAAGUAUUAUGUUUCCGGUUAAUACAAUUCUAUCAUGAAUAAUAAACAUUUAUCAUGAUAUAAGGUAAUAAAUAAUAACUUUAUUAUUGCCUCUAGGGCAUAUUUCCUUCAGUGCUAUCACCUACCAUAGGAUUAGUAUAUAAUCUUAUUUCUUUCUUUCUUUGUUUUAUUUAUUUCCUUUCUCAUUUUCUUUCUUAUUUCUUUUCUUUAUUUGCAACAUGAAAGUAAAGAAAGCAAAAACUCAAACUAAACUUUAUUAUAUAACUUGCACACGAUUACAAUGAUAGAUCACUAAGCAAACUCUCAAAGAGGAAAGGAUCGAACUAAACUUUAUUUCAUCUAAAGCAAAAUAUUGAACUAAGAUAAAUAAAAGCAAAAAGAUAGUGGGAUGAUACGAUACCGGGGCACCUCCCCCAAGCUUGGCGGAAGCCAAGGGGAGUGCCCAUACCCGAUACUCAGUUCUCCUUUGGUGGUGAAGAAGAUGAUGGUGAAGUAGAUGGUAAUGGUGGUGGUGAGAAGAUAGGGGAUUUGUGACGAUGACAUGUACCUAGGGUAGGGUCAUAGGCCUGACCUAGACGCCCUACCCAAGGACACUGCCCUAGACUCAAAGACAUUCAAAGCACAAGAGAAACCGACUGAGUUCAUCGAGGAGUGCAAUCCACUCGACCUUCAACCUCACUCAGAUACCCCAAUUCCAUUCGACCAAUAUGAAGUCAUUCGACGAUACAAGAAACCACUCGGAGUAUAGAAGACCUAACGUCACUCAGGAUGGCAACGGUCGGACACUCACUCUGUAACCUUAAAGAUCAUUUAUAUCUCUUUAUUACCGGCGUUACCAGUAACGCCCUACCUUAAUGUACAUUGAACACUUUGUAACAUGGGCUUGCUGGGGUUCUAGCGCACUUUAUAUAAGCCACCCCCCUCCACUGGUACAAGGGUUCGCACCCCCUGUAACUCUCACGCAUAAUCCAGUCGACCAAGCCUCCGGGCACCGAGACGUAGGGCUGUUACUUCCUCCGAGAAGGGCCUGAACUCGUAAAUCUUGCGUGCACAACCUUGCCGUAGCUAGGAUCUUGCCUCCUCAUACGUACCCCCUACUCUUACUGUCAGACUUAGUACCACGACAGUUGGCGCCCACCGUGGGGCAGGUGUCUUAGCGACUUCCGGUGAGGUUGCAAUUUCUCCAAUCUCCAUCAUCAUGGUUUCUGGCGGCGGUUUGGCUGAGGGCCGCGAGAUCCGUCUCGGUGCACUCGUGUUCAUCGUCGAUGACUCCGCCUGGCUCCAGGAGGCCCCUCUCGAUGUCGAGAUGCUCCCCGUCUGCAGGGUGACGCACUUUCGCACAUGUGUCUGCGGCGUUCUUCUGCGGCAGACGUCGACCUAGUAUCGGUCAUCUCCCACAGCAUCUUCGCUCCCCACCGCUCGCCGUUGCAAGCGGUCUGGUCGAUCGCGGCUCCAGCGGUGGGUAAAGCAUGCGGUGGCCCGUCAGUUGGCCACCCCUCAAGUCGUGGCAAUCAAUCCCGACGAAUAUCUCUAUGGACUAUUCGAUCUAUCGACUGGUUCCACCGAGACUCUGUCCGAGUGCGACAGCAGUGACCCUGCGGCAGAAGUUUUGAUGGUUGACAUGCCAUGCAGCCCUCCUGGUUUCUGUCGCGGUGGCGGCGGCGAUGGCGAUGGCGGCUCGUCGCAUGGUCAUGAGGAAUAUCGUCCCGAAGCCCUCACUUCGCAGCGGAGGGAUGAGCUGCACCAUCGCAAUGUGGAGGCGCUUCACACUCCCAUCAUUGGAGAGACCUCCGAGGCUCGGGCCUUGGAGGCUGCGCGCCUGGCCACUUUGGCUGAGCGCGCACGUCUGGAGAACCUUCAACAUUCACUCGACGGACGCGCUCGAAGACAGAUCCCCGAAUCCAGUCGAUGACAAUGACAGUUGUUUCCGCCUGAACCCCAGGUAUACCGCACUCCGAUCUAGAAUCUUACAGCUGCAGCCCAUAUAGCAGAGUCGAUUCAGCCGUCCCAAUCAGAGGCUGGAAGAGGUUUGAUGCAGAUCCGAGCACUACUCCGGGCAGCAGGAGAGCAAAACACAGCCGUUUCUCAGUCUCGCAACAGGAGCCAUAGCAGGUCCAUGGUGGCGGACACAGUCCAGUCGGCUCACAGCCCAAGAUUGCCUCUGCGGCGUGAAGGUCGUGGGCACCGCCAGGAGCAGUACCUGGGUCGGAACCACGAGCAGUAUGAUCAUCGACUCGGCCGUGAUGACCGCCGUCGACUACCUACGCCCCCUCCAAGGGGCGGAUCGUACAUGCCCCGGCAAUAUGAUGAUAGGCGCCCGUAUAGCGAUGAGCGAAGGGUCCCAGUCGACCUAAGAGAGCCCGGGUUUGGUGCGAGGUCAAUUCUUGUACAAGGUCUGGUCGACAGAAACCAAGCACAUAGAGAAGGACUGGACAGAGAUCGUCCGAUUGGUAGCAGAGUACAUGUCUCCGGACCUGAAUGCUUCAGCAGAGCCAUCAGAGCUGCUGAGAUCCCUCCCAACUUCAGGUUGGCAACGGGAGUGAGCAAGUUCACCGCUGAGUCGAAGCCUGACACUUGGCUGGAGGAUUACCGAGUGGCUGUGCAGAUUGGCGGUGGCAAUGAUGAUGUAGCCAUGAAACAUCUCCCCCUGAUGUUGGAGGGUUCGGCCAGAGCUUGGUUGAAUCAAUGGGCCCCUGGUAGUAUAUUCAGUUGGGAAGAGUUGGCCCGAGUGUUUGUGAGGACAUUUGAGGGCACUUGCAAACUAUAACACCCACGAUGCGGCUAUAUCUCCCACGUGUCGAGGCACGACUUAGAGGCAUAACCGCAUUAUGGUUUUGUCGCAAGAAGGGUCAUCUUCACACAAUCCCAUGUAAUGAACAAGAAUGGGAUAAAGAGUUGGCUUACAAUCGCCACUUCACACAAUACAUAAAUAAAUCAUACAUCAAACAGAGUACACACAUAGGUCCGACUACGGAACCAAAAUAAAAGAAGACAACCCCAAAUGCUAGAUCCCCGAUCGUCCCAACUGGGCUCCACUACUGAUCAUCAGGAAACGAAACAUAGUAACGACCAAGGUCCUCGUCGAACUCCCAAUUGAGUUCGGUUGCAUCACCUGCACUAGUAUCGUCGACACCUGCAACUGUUUUCGAAGUAUCUAUGAGUCACGAGGACUCAGCAAUCUCACACCCGCGAGAUCAAGACUAUUUAAGCUUAUGGGUAGGAAAGGGUAGUGAGGUGGAGCUGCAGCAAGCACUAGCAUGUAUGGUGGCUAACAUAUGCAAAUAAGAGCGAGAAGAGAAGCAACGCAACGGUCGAGAAGCUAGAAGUGAUCAAGAAGUGAUCCUGAAACUACUUACGUUCAUACAUAACACAAGAACCGUGUUCACUUCCCGGACUCCGCCGAAAAGAGACCAUCACAGCUACAUACACGGUUGAUGUAUUUUAAUUAAGUCAAGUGUCAAGUUCUCUACAACCGGAUAUUAACAAAUUCCCAUCUGCCACAUAACCGCGGGCACGGCUCUCGAAAGUUCAAACCCUGCAGGGUUGUCCCAACUUAGCCCAUUAUAAGCUCUCACGGUCAACGAAGGAUAUUCCUUCUCCCGGGAAGACCCGAUCAGACUCGGAAUCCCGGUUUACAAGACAUUUCGACAAUGGUAAAACAAGACCAGCAAGACCACCCGCUGUGCCAACAAAUCCCGAUAGGAGCUGCACAUAUCUCGUUCUCAGGGCACACUGGAUGAGCCAAACGUCGGGUUGGCAUAGACCCUGGUUGCCCAGGGGNNNNNNNNNNNNNNNNNNNNNNNNNNNNNNNNNNNNNNNNNNNNNNNNNNNNNNNNNNNNNNNNNNNNNNNNNNNNNNNNNNNNNNNNNNNNNNNNNNNNNNNNNNNNNNNNNNNNNNNNNNNNNNNNNNNNNNNNNNNNNNNNNNNNNNNNNNNNNNNNNNNNNNNNNNNNNNNNNNNNNNNNNNNNNNNNNNNNNNNNNNNNUAAAUAAAGAUGACCCUUGAGUCUGUAGAACCCAAGGGAAAAAGGCUUAGGUAGGCAAAUGGUAAAACCAAGGUUGGGCCUUGCUGGAGGAGUUUUAUUCAAAGCGAACUGUCAAGGGGUCCCAUAAAUCACCCAACCGCGUAAGGAACGCAAAAUCAAGGAACAUAACACCGGUAUUUCGGAAACUAGGGCGGCAAGAGUGGAACAAAAUGCCAGGCAUAAGGCCGAGCCUUCCACCCUUUACCAAGUAUAUAGAUGCAUUAAUUAAAUAAGAGAUAUUGUGAUAUCCCAACAUAUCCAUGUUCCAACAUGGAACAAACUUCAUCUUCACCUGCAACUAGCAACGCUAUAAGAGGGGCUGAGCAAAAGCGGUAACAUAGCCAAACAAUGGUUUGCUGGGAAAGGUGGGUUAGAGGCUUGACAUGGCAAUAUGGGAGGCAUGAUAUAGCAAGUGGUAGGUAGCGCGACAUAGAAAUAGAGCGAACAACUAGCAAGCAAAGAUAGAAGUGAUUUCGAGGGUAUGGUCAUCUUGCCUUAGAUUCCGCAAGGAAGAAGAACGAGUCCAAGAAGAAGACAAACGGACGUAGUCGAACGAAUCCUCACAACUCCAGAACGAAACUGAAGCUAUCGAGAGAAGCAAACCGGAAAGAAGCAAACAACAUGGUAAACAACCAUCACAUAAACAUGGCAUGAUGCACAAACAAAUAUGAUGCAUGUCCGGUUUAAUGAGGCAUGGCAUGGCAAAGUGCACAAACAAUACUACAAAUCAAGUGGAGCUCAAUAUGCAACGAGUUGCAUAUUGACGAAACACCACAUUCGGAUUAUUUAGUUCACUCCCAUUUAAGCUACUCAACAAUAUUAAAUGUUGUUAAACAUGGGCAAGAGGUGAAACAUAAUUAAUCUACCUAUCUAGGCAAGUUUAAAUGGGGCCGAAACAACAAACAACAAUUUCGGAAAUCCCCAUAUGUUAUUUAGCAAUGUAACGCAAACAACAAUUUUAAACAUUUUAAUUGUUUUUAUCAUGAUGCGGAUGACAUAUGCAAGUUUUAUGCAAUUUUAUGAAAACGUUGACAUGAGCAUGUUAUGAAGCAUUUGUUACCGUGGUGGAACGAAAGGGGUGCCACGGCAACGACAACGAAAAUGGUGCCACGACAACAUUCCGAUGAUCCGAUAACUCAUUGAGAUACCGGUGCAAAAGAGCAAGUGUGCGGAUGUGCGAAACAUGCAAAAGAUGGUGGGGUGAUCCCGAUUACCGGGUGUCCCACAUGUCGGUGGCAUGGAAACAAGGAACGCACAAGCGACAACUGGGACACGGUGCAAACGCGAGCAUCUCAUACAACAAAGCAUUCGAUCCACGGGUGAUCGUCUCGUUGGUUAUACCUUUGAAGCGUGCAUUCGGGGCAGAACACGUCGGUGCGAUGUAGAGGAAGUAGACGUUCUCGGGACUGUCGUCGUGGAAGUAGUGGCACACGGCGAUGGUAGUGGUUCACAUUUCGUAGUCGUACACACUCCGUAGAGGAUCGGGGUCUCGGUGAGGAACUUGACGUCCACGGGGUCGAUGGUAGAGGUACACACGUUGUCGGGGUACUUGUUGGUCUGGUCUUGGCAACAGUAGUUGUACAUGUUCGAAGAUGUUCAAGUCAUCGGUGUCGUUGUACUUGGGGUCUUUGGACUUGCCGAUCUCGCAUCUUGCGACGGUAGUGGUACACGGUCAUCUUGCGACGGUAGUGGUACACGGUCGUAGACAUCCAGGGUCAUCAUAGAUGUACUUGACGUCCACGGAACUAGCAGCGGAGCGCCCGGGUCUCGGGUCCUGAUCUUCAGGAGGUCAGCGGUGACCGCAGGUACACGGGGAGGCUGCACCGGGGCCCAAGGCAAGCAAGCGGCCAAUGGCACAAAGCAUCAGAGAUGGCAGCAGUGCCAUCGGGGGUGCCAGGAGGAGGAGCUCGAGCAGAGGAGGCUCGAGGCGCGGCGGAGCUCCUGGUGGUCGCAGCGUGCGACGAGGAGAUGCGGGAGGCAGCGGGGUCCUACGGGUCAUGCAGAAGAGGGGCCGAAGCAAGGCAAGGAGGG